rnacentral:rRNA from 1 species
ACUCAAAGGAAUAGACGGGGACUUGCACAAGCGGUGGAUGAUGUGGUUUAAUUCGACGAUUCACGAAGAACCUUACCAGGGUUAGAAAUCAAAGUGAAGAGCAGCAGAAACGUUGCUCGCCUUCGGGCACUUUGACAGGUGAUGCAUGGUUGUUGUCAGUUCGUGGUUUGAAUUGUUCCCUUAAGUGGGGUAACGAACGAAACCCUCGUCGUGUGUUAUAUAUGUCACGCGAGACUGCUCCUUUUAGGAGAGGAAGGAGAGGAUGACACCAAAUCAGCAUGUCCCUUGAUACCCUGGGCUACACACGUCAUACAAUGGUCACUACAAAGGGCUGCAAUACCGUAAGGUGGAGCCAAUCCCUAAAAGUGGCCCCAGUUCAGAUUGAGGUCUGAAACUCGACCUCAUGAAGUCGGAAUCGCUAGUAAUCGCAGGUCAGCUAUACUGCGGUGAAUACGUUCUCAAGUCUUGUACACACCGCCCGU